GGGCGUAAGGGCUCGCAGGCGGUUUCUUAAGUCUGAUGUGAAAGCCCCCGGCUCAACCGGGGAGGGUCAUUGGAAACUGGGAAACUUGAGUGCAGAAGAGGAGAGUGGAAUUCCACGUGUAGCGGUGAAAUGCGUAGAGAUGUGGAGGAACACCAGUGGCGAAGGCGACUCUCUGGUCUGUAACUGACGCUGAGGAGCGAAAGCGUGGGGAGCGAACAGGAUUAGAUACCCUGGUAGUCCACGCCGUAAACGAUGAGUGCUAAGUGUUAGGGGGUUUCCGCCCCUUAGUGCUGCAGCUAACGCAUUAAGCACUCCGCCUGGGGAGUACGGUCGCAAGACUGAAACUCAAAGGAAUUGACGGGGGCCCGCACAAGCGGUGGAGCAUGUGGUUUAAUUCGAAGCAACGCGAAGAACCUUACCAGGUCUUGACAUCCUCUGACAACCCUAGAGAUAGGGCUUUCCCUUCGGGGACAGAGUGACAGGUGGUGCAUGGUUGUCGUCAGCUCGUGUCGUGAGAUGUUGGGUUAAGUCCCGCAACGAGCGCAACCCUUGAUCUUAAUUGCCAGCAUUCAGUUGGGCACUCUAAGGUGACUGCCGGUGACAAACCGGAGGAAGGUGGGGAUGACGUCAAAUCAUCAUGCCCCUUAUGACCUGGGCUACACACGUGCUACAAUGG
rnacentral:rRNA from 1 species